rnacentral:rRNA from 1 species
GCGGAACACGUGUGCAACCUGCCUUUAUCAGGGGGGAUAGCCUUUCGAAAGGAAGAUUAAUACCCCAUAAUAUGUUGAAUGGCAUCAUUCGACAUUGAAAACUCCGGUGGAUAGAGAUGGGCACGCGCGAGAUUAGAUAGUUGGUGAGGUAACGGCUCACCAAGUCUACGAUCUUUAGGGGCCUGAAGGGUGAUCCCCCACACUGGUACUGAACACGGACCAACUCCUACGGGAGGCAGCAGUGAGGAAUAUUGGACAAUGGGUGAGAGCCUGAUCCAGCCAUCCCGCGUGAAGGACGACUGCCUUAUGGGUUGUAAACUUCUUUUGUAUAGGGAUAAACCUACCCUCGUGAGGGUAGCUGAAGGUACUAUACGAAUAAGCACCGGCUAACUCCGUGCCAGCAGCCGCGGUAAUACGGAGGGUGCAAGCGUUAUCCGGAUUUAUUGGGUUUAAAGGGUCCGUAGCGGAUCUGUAAGUCAGUGGUGAAAUCUCGCAGCUUAACUGUGAAACUGCCAUUGAUACUGCAGGUCUUGAGUGUUGUUGAAGUAGCUGGAAUAAGUAGUGUAGCGGUGAAAUGCAUAGAUUUUACUUAGAACACCA